rnacentral:rRNA from 1 species
AUGGCCCCGUCGACGUAUGUCUGCUCGGUCAAUCAAGAACAUGGGCGAAUUCGCGAUUUCACAGGGCCUCCACAACCCGAACCCAUCCCCUACGCUCCAGGCAAGCCUCGCCCCUUUACACUCACCGACCUGGAUGCGAUACGUCGACGCGUAGCAGAUGCAUCUAAGGAAUUCGCCCACUCCGACUACGCUGUCGGGGAUGGACAACUCUUCACGGACGUCGACGAGAUAUCUCGACGCGUAGCAGAUGUACGCAUGGAAGUCGCCUGCUCCGACAUCCAGACGAGGCCCUACGAUCGGCCGCAACCUCCACAGUGCGAGUACCCUUCUUAUGAUGUGCCUGAGCAGUUGGAAACGCCACUGCUAGAGCCAAAGAACACCAACACUUCAUCUUCCUCCACACAGCCAGAGGCGCUAACUCAUGACAUCUUGCCAGUGUCAAGGCAAUCGUCUCCGCCUAUUUUCGCUCGCAAUCCUUCUGGUUGGCAUAUACAGUUUUUCAUCAGAAUAGAUGUCGAGGGUUCUUUCCACACGUAUCCUAGUCUGGGCGGGCCAUUUCAGAGCUUGCAGGAAGCUGAGAACGCUAUCACUAGCCAUCUUGACGAGCUGCGCUCUCCAAUGAUGUGCACAGAUGGGCUUUCGGAUGCUGAGAUUGGUAUAUUACACGCCCUUCACUGGCCUGAUGGCACAAGGAAGAAAUCUUCUAAAGGCAAUGCGGAACAUAGGAAUAUCAGCUUAUUGGUUCAAGCGUUACUGGACAAAUACAAUGAAGAUCACCAUCUUUUGGGGGAUUUUGAAUAUGAACUUGAUGAUGUUGUUAUCUUCCGAGAAUUUGUUGAGGGGGAGAAAGUGACUAGGUUCUAUCAUAUCAAUCUGGCUACAAAAACCAAAGGAGAAGAUGGUUUGCACAGUGGCGUCAACAAUCUAUUUUUUGCUGAAGUCAGACAAAUUAAAGGAGAAAAUGUAUAUGUACUCAGUUGUUUAUGUAUGGUUAAACCUACUGACAGUGGCCAAUGCUAUGGUUGCUUGAGUUAUGGAAAUGUUGAUUUGAAGCACCCUGUUGAUACUGAUAAAUACAAAGGUGGCCACACUGCCCCGCGCUCACCAUGUUGCGGUUUUGAUCUACGGUGUGAUGUUAUCCCUGGCCUAGAUGUACCUGAAUGCAUCGAGGAUGAGGAGGCUAGGCUGGUGAAGGAGGAGGCUAGGUUAAGAUAUAUAUACAAGUGCCCUGCUCCGGCAAAAUUGGAUGGUGCAAGAGUGCGUGCUUGUUUGGCAAAGAGAGAGGAUGCUGGUUUGACCAAGGGAGAGUGUGGCCAGGGAAGCGCGAAAUACAUUGUGCCUGCUAGGCGUCGUCUGCUGGUUUGA